AUGGAGAAAAGAAGACAAAGUUCUUCACUCUGGCGGCAGCACGGGCAGACGAGCAGCAGUAGUACGGGUAGACGAGCAGCAGCAGUACAGGCAAAGGAGCUCCACCGGCGGCAGGGGACAAGCAGCCGCACGGGCGCGCGGGCAGGGGAGAAGGAGCAGCACGAGCUUGCGCGGGAGAUUGAGGAAGACGCGCGGGAGAUUGAGGAUCACACGCGCGAGCUCCCGGUCCACUGGAUCAUGGAGGCAGGCUCCGGCGACGCCGGUAGGGGAUCGCGGCGGCGCACGCGUGGGAGCUCCAGCAGGAUGCGCGGGAGCGCGAUGGAUGACGCACGCGAGCUUGAGGAGGAUGCACGGGGGUUCCAGGAGGGACGCGCGCGGCAGGAGAUUCCGGCGAAGCCCACAGGCAGCGGGAGGGGACCGCCGGCGCAGGUCUGGGCUGCGGCAGCAGAGGAGGUAAUUGGCGACGACGGCGAGAGCAGGUACUUGGCUACGGCGGAGGAGCUCAGCUGGGCUCGCCGGCCCCUGGCGAAUCACGCAGCUGGGUGGCGCCGGCCCCUGGCGACGCGCAGGCGACGGGCGGAGGAAGAAGACGGGGCGGAGGGGCUUGUUCGAAACGCUUUUCAAACCACGAGGGGUUUUUUGUAA
rnacentral:rRNA from 1 species